rnacentral:rRNA from 1 species
GCCUUACACAUGCAAGUCGAACGGCAGCACGGGAGCAAUCCUGGUGGCGAGUGGCGAACGGGUGAGUAAUAUAUCGGAACGUGCCCAGUCGUGGGGGAUAACGCAGCGAAAGCUGUGCUAAUACCGCAUACGAUCUCUGGAUGAAAGCGGGGGACCUGCAAGGGCCUCGCGCGAUUGGAGCGGCCGAUAUCAGAUUAGCUAGUUGGUGGGGUAAAAGCCCACCAAGGCGACGAUCUGUAGCUGGUCUGAGAGGACGACCAGCCACACUGGAACUGAGACACGGUCCAGACUCCUACGGGAGGCAGCAGUGGGGAAUUUUGGACAAUGGGCGAAAGCCUGAUCCAGCAAUGCCGCGUGCAGGAUGAAGGCCUUCGGGUUGUAAACUGCUUUUGUACGGAACGAAAAGGUUUGCCCUAAUACGGCGGGCCCAUGACGGUACCGUAAGAAUAAGCACCGGCUAACUACGUGCCAGCAGCCGCGGUAAUACGUAGGGUGCGAGCGUUAAUCGGAAUUACUGGGCGUAAAGCGUGCGCAGGCGGUGAUGUAAGACAGAUGUGAAAUCCCCGGGCUCAACCUGGGACCUGCAUUUGUGACUGCACCGCUAGAGUACGGCAGAGGGGGAUGGAAUUCCGCGUGUAGCAGUGAAAUGCGUAGAUAUGCGGAGGAACACCGAUGGCGAAGGCAAUCCCCUGGGCCUGUACUGACGCUCAUGCACGAAAGCGUGGGGAGCAAACAGGAUUAGAUACCCUGGUAGUCCACGCCCUAAACGAUGUCAACUGGUUGUUGGGUCUUCACUGACUCAGUAACGAAGCUAACGCGUGAAGUUGACCGCCUGGGGAG